CUAUCAUAUAUUUUACUGACAAUGGUGGUGUGUGGAUUUAUAUGAAACUGUCCCGGAUAAACAAAUUAUUGUCUUGGAAAAGUAUCUGACGAUAAAAUGCACAGUGCACGACAAAGUUUCCCGAGUGAAUUAUGCAGACAGACAACCGAGACCCACAGCUGAUUCAGUUUUGAUAAUUUUGAUUGUUGUAGGUUUCAGGGGUUUCGUUUAUGGUGAAAGAGAAUGGAAAAUUGGAUUAAAGUUUUGAUUUAAAUUAAAACUAAAUGUUCAAAC